CGUCAAGACAUUCUCCCAAAACUGUGUUCCCUGUAAGACAUAGAAGUUUCAAGUAGGCAAUUGAGCAACGCUGCCAUUGCCUCACGGGUCUGGACACCCCCACCUCCGCCUCAGCCCAUCCCCUCUUAAGUCCCAGUCGUGGUGCCUGGACAGAAACCCCCGAGGAUUUCAGAAACACAAUUCUCCCCGGAGGGAUUGCGCCUCGGGCCGGCCCCACCCCCACCCCAUACCCCGAGGCACCAAGAGCUAGGUCCCGGCGGGGCCAGAAGCUCUUUCUUAUGGAAAUGACCUGGAGAGAGCAAGAAAGGGAAUCUGAAUCUGCCCAGAGGUAGAGGAACUGAGUGACUGGAAGACAAGCAUGUGAGAAGACUAUACUGUGUAGUCAUCUGUACAGGACCUGCACCCCUGCCUUCCAC